rnacentral:rRNA from 1 species
AGAGUUUGAUCAUGGCUCAGGAUGAACGCUGGCGGCGUGCUUAACACAUGCAAGUCGAACGAAGCACUCUUUUAGAUUUCCUUCGGGGAAGAAGAAAUUGUGACUGAGUGGCGGACGGGUGAGUAACGCGUGGGCAACCUGCCCCAUACAGGGGGAUAACAGCCGGAAACGGCUGCUAAAACCGCAUAAGCGCACAAGGGCCGCAUGGCCUGGUGUGAAAAACUCCGGUGGUAUGGGAUGGGCCCGCGUCUGAUUAGCUAGUUGGCGGGGGAGAGGCCCACCAAGGCGACGAUCAGUAGCCGACCUGAGAGGGUGGCCGGCCACAUUGGGACUGAGACACGGCCCAAACUCCUACGGGAGGCAGCAGUGGGGAAUAUUGCACAAUGGGGGAAACCCUGAUGCAGCGACGCCGCGUG